CCCGCCCCGCCCUUGCCCGCACAGGUGUGGCACCCGCCCGCCCCGCCGCACGGAGCCGCCUGCCCGCGGCCACACGCCAGGCGUCACUCGGGCUGGCGCCGGUCUACCUAGGCAGGCGUGGGACCUGUCGGGGGCUUCACGGCAGCGCGGAAGGCCAGCCUGCAGAGAGGCUGGGCCCAGCGCCCUGACUGACCCAGCCCCGCCACGUCCAAGGUUCCCGCCCUCUGGAGGAAGCCGCGCAAUCACUCCGGGGGCGGGGAGAGACAGACAACUGAGAGGAAGGAGGUACCACGGGCACUCUCUCGCGAGAGGGCCGCAGAGCCGCCUUUGACGGGGGCGUGUACCUGGAGAGCAACGCUCUUGACAAAAUUCUCAGGGAAAACUCUUCAGCUCUGGAUGUCUCCCUUUUUGUGGAUCAAACACAAAGGGCAUCAUUCUAAAAUAUAUACAGAACCAUAAAAGCCCCAAAUAGCCAAAGCAACCCUGAGCAAAAAGAACAAGGCUGGAAGCAUCACACUACCAGACUUCAAAAUUUACUACAAAGCUCUAAUACCUAAAAUAACAUGGUACUGGCAUUAAAAAAAAAAAAAAAAUAGGCACAUAGACCACCAAUGAAACAGUAUAGAGAAUCUAGAUAUACCAACUCAUCUUUAACAAAGGUGCCAAGAACAUACAAUGAGGAAACGAUGGUCUUUUCAAUAAAUGGUGUGGGGGAAAGCUAGAUAACUAUAUGCAGAAGAAUGAAACAAGAUUCCUCUCUCUCGCUAUACACAAAAAUCAAAUCAAAAUGGAUUAAAGGCUUAAAUCUAAGACCUGAAACUACAAAACUAGAAGAACACACUGGAGAAGUGCUCCAGGACCUUGGUCUGGGAAAAGAUUUUUUUGUUUAAGACCUCAAAAGCACAGACAACAAAGCAAAAACAGACAAAUGAGAUUACAUUAAGCUAAAAAGUUUCUGCACAGCAAAGGAAACACUCAACAGAGUGGGGGAGACAACCCACAGAAUGAGAGAAAACAUUUUCAAACUAUCCAUCCGACAAGGGAUUAAUGACCAGAAUAAAGAGACCAAACAAUUUAAGCCAAAAACAAAACAAACAAACACACAAAAAAAACAAAAGCCAAAUAAUCUAAAAAGUGGGCAGGUUGGGUGGGGUGGCUCAAGCCUAUAAUCCCAGCACUUUGGGAGGCCAAGGCAGGCAGGUCAAGAGAUCGAGACCAUCCUGGCCAACAUGGUGAAACCCCAUCUCUACUGAAAAUACAAAAAAAAUUAGCCGGGUGUGGUGGCAUGUGCCUGUAGUCCCAGCUACUUGGGAAGCUGAGGCAGUGAGAAUCGCUUGAACCUGGGAGGCAGAGGUUGCAGUGAACCAAGAUCACACAACUGCACUCCAGCCUGAUGACAGAGCGAGACUCCAUCUUGAAAAAAAAAAAAAAAAAAGUGGGCAAAAGAUCCAAACAGACAUUUCUCAAAGGAAGACAUAAAAAUGGCCAACAGGUAUAUGAAAAAAUGCUCAACAUUACUAAUCAUUAGAGAAAUGCAAAUUAAAACAACAUGUUAUUUCACCCCAGUUAAAAUGGCUUGUAUUAAGAAAACAGAUAAUAACAGAUGCUAGUGAGGAUGUGGAGAAAAGAGAACCCUCAUACACUGUUGGUAGAAAUGUAAACUAGUACAACCACUAUGAAGAACAGUAUGGAAGUUCUUCAAAAAACUAAAAAUAGAAUUACCAUAUGAUCCAGCAAUUCCACUACUGAAUAUGUAUCCAAAAGAAAGGAAAUCCGUAUAUCAAAAAGAUAUCUGCACUCCCAUGUUUAUUGCAGCAUUGUUCACAAUAGCCAAGAUAUGGAAUUAACCUAAGUGCCCAUCAAUGGGUGAAUGGAUAAAGUGUGGUGGAUGGAAAGCCGAUUUCCAGUCUUUAUGAUAACGCCGAUGUUCCACUUGGGAAAGAUACUGUACAACAAUGAAAGUAGCCCUUUCUUUUGUCUUUCAAAGAAUGUAUUUUUAACAAACAGCCUCUGUGUGAUCCUUUUGACCACACAAUUUGUAGAGUUAACGCUGAAAUUUUCAUUAGCAACAAUGAAAGCACACACAGGCACAAUAUUAAUAUAGAUUAAUAUCAGCCUAUUUUGGUCAGAAAGGCUCAUUUAAAUGUUUAAGAGACAGAAGUCCCAAAUUGUAGUAAUUUCUUCCACUAGCAGGAGGAAGCUCAGAAUUAGUUUUUCUACAACACUAGAGGAAUACUACUCAAAAAUAAAAAGGAAUUAACCAUUGAUACAUGCAACAACACAGAUGAAUCUCAAAGUAAUUGUGCUGAAAGAAACCAGACCCAGAAAAAGAUAAAUUCUAUAUGAUCUCAUUUAUAUAAGACUCUAGGAAAUGCAAACUAAUCUACACAUACAGAAAACUGAGGGCAGGUACUGAGAAGGGUAGGAGGGGGGCGUUACAGAGAGGCAUGAGGAAACUUUUUGGGGUGAUAGAUAUGUUUACUACUUUGAUUGUAAGGAUGAGGUCGCAACUCUGUGCGUGUCAGUGGUAUAUUUUAAUAUGAACGGCUUAUUUUAUGUAAAUUCUACCCCUAUAAAGCUGUUUUUUUUAAAAAAAAAAACUUCUCUUUGAGAGACAUCACCUUUGUCUUUUAAACCAUCUAAUGUUGAAUCUAAAAGUUCAGUGUAAAGUUUAAUAAAAUCAGAGUGUGUAUGUGUCUUAAUUUCCAGGACAUAUAAUCAUAGUGAUUAAGCCAAAAGUGCUUAUAUGAUUACCUAUAAACUAUCAUAGUUAAAUGACUAAAUACCCUGCAUAAGGUAAAAUGAUUAUUUUAUUCCUAUAGAUUGAAAUUGCCCAACUUUUUAUUAGAGAAUAAUAGAUUAGAGGGCAUGUUGGCUCAUACCUGUAAGCCCAAUGCUUUGGGAGGCUGAAGCGGGAGGAUCCCUUGAGGCCAGGAGUUGAAGAUCAGCUUGGGCAACAUAGCAAGACCACAUCUCUACAAAAAAAUUUAAAAUAAAAUGUUUAUCCAAGCAUAGUGGCACUCACUCACCUGUAGUACUAGCUGCUGAGGAAGCUGAGGCCUGGAGUUCAAACUGCACAACGCUGCACUUCAACCUAUGUGACAAAGUGAGAUCCUAUCUCUAAAAUAAUUAAUUCAGUUUUUAUAAUUAGGGAACAUUUAAAUUCAGAUUAUAAGUAAAAAAUGGAAUAAACAGUCCUGUUACCUGAUAUGGUUUGGAUCUCCAUCCCUACCCAAAUCUUAUGUUGAAAUGUAAUCCCCAAUGCUGGAGGUGGGGCCUGGUGGGAGAUGAUUGGAUCAUGGUGGUGGUUUCUCAUGGUUUAACACCAUCGUCCCCUGGUGCUGUCGCCGUGAUGAUGAAUUCUCACGAGAUCUGGUUGGUUUAAAAGUGUGUGGCACCUCCCCCUUCUCUCUUGCUCCUGCUCCUACCAUGUGAGAUGCCUUGGUCCCCCUUUGCCUUCCGCCAUGAUUCAGAGUUCUCUGAGGCCUCCCCAGAAGCAGAUGCUGCCAUGCUUUCUGUACAGCCUGCAGAACCGUAAGCCAAUUAAACCUCUUUUCUUAUACAUUACCCAGUGUCAGAUAUUUCUUUAUAGCAGUGUGAGAAUGGAUUAAUACACUACGUCAUGCAAAAUGUAAAAACAGGCAACUCACUGAGAGUAAACCUAAUCAACUUGUUCAUUUAGAUAUAAACUGUAGAGACGACACUGCCAUCUAGUUGUUGAAUACUGAGUAUACUGUUGAAACAUUCUUGACAAUGUUCUAUUUCUCUUUUGUAGACUUACAAGGAACACACAGAAGCCCCUAACCAAUUACAUCUCCUUCCUAGGAGUGUGAAUGUGACUGCCAUAGUGCAGCCCAUGCUGCCCCUGGUAAUUAUAUGCCUCAACCCAAGCAGGUGAUUAUGUAUCCUGUGACUACCUCAUGCUCAAGGCUCUUCCAUAUUACACAAACA
rnacentral:lncRNA from 1 species